CCUCCAGGAAGGAGGGUAUCUCCCAGGAUGGAGAGAUGGACUAGAUGAACUCUCUUCCAGCACUAUUUUCUAUGGUUCUCAGAAACUCUCACUACAGUCUUUCAUCACAGACUCACUUCCUACAGUGCACAGUACAAUGGGCAGUGGAACAGCAUAUACUUUCUGAUGACUUUAGCCACAGUUGCAGAAGAGGAAAUAGAGUUUCAUCCAAUUGUCUUGAUUUUGGUGUUGUUUCCGUAACUUGUAAUAAAGCCCGCUUGGUUAGGGGACAGAUGCUCCUUUGUCCUUGCUGAAGAGGAGAGAAGCAGAACCCAACACAGGAGAAAGAAGACGGGAACAAUGCCUCUGCAAUGUGGUUUUGCAAAACUACCACAGAAUUGCUGUUUCUUGAGUCCCGGGGGGCAGUACUUGAGCAAUGCAGUAUGGUAUAUUCAUCACAGGCAGAGUACAAAAAGCUAAACAGCAACACAAGCCCUCUGGGAGAAGUAAAUCAGUGAUUAGUUGUAGCAGCUGUAGUACUGUGGGGUUCUCAUCCCACUUCUGUUACUGGUGCCAAAAGAAGAGUACCAAGGGAAUCACAGCAGCAUGAAAACCACAUCUGCUUCCAGAGAAGGUACUUGCUGAAUUCUAUGCAAUGACGUUUCAUCUUUUCUGCUGUGCUUAGAUUUCUCUAGGUUUUGCAUAGCUGCUUGGUGACUAGGAUGAAGUGUUAAUCAUCUCCAUGCAGCAGGAGAAGUUGCUCAGACAGGUUUGUGGUCCUGUGAACUAUCCUCCCCCACAGGAUAACAGAACGGGAGAAGUGCAAUGUGCUGCUAGCCCAGCCACAAAUAUGGCUUCACUCAGUGUACUAUUUCCACUGGAUACAGGCAUCUGUUCCAUCCAUUUCCCUCUUGGCUGCUCCUGCAGUUUAGGUGAAAAGGCAGGACGAAAGAUUUACUGAUCAACAGACACUAAAGGUGAUUUCUAUUAUCUCACUCUGGGCAUGUAAUCCAAGUCAUGGUUCAGAAUGCAACAUAGAUUCUUUCAUUAUUGGAUAUUGUAAUGCUUAAAAUAUAAUUCGACGUGCUCAGUUUAACCUUCUCUUUCUGUGCACAUACCAUAAUAUUUGCUUUUUGUUACUUGCUAGUUAAACAUCAGUGAAGACUUCUUUGAGUGGUGAUGAGUUACAGUACCAAACAGACCUCGCUGAAGCUGCCACUGGAGGGCUGAAGAAAUCCUUUUGGCAGUGUUGGUCCAGUUCAGUUCCCCCAUCCAGGUGAACACAGGGGUCUGAACCAGCUGCACUGUCUUGGUGCAACCCUGAACAACCUGGAAAACUACAUAUGCUCACAAGUGGCUUCAAGGCAGCUUGCCAACAGCACAGAGAAAGGCUGUCAUGCUGAGAAAAGUGAUUUUAGAGAGGACAUGGCUUGUAGUUUUGUCCUCAAGCCUAGCAGGAGCCACAACCACUAGCACACGAGCCACCACUGGUCCAUAAGCAGUAUCACCCUUGGUGUGACCAGAAGGCCGCUUGCUCCAGCACACCUGGUGGUGUGUUUGUGCUUAUGCACUACUGCCCUACUCUGCUGUCUGAAAAAAGAGUCAGGUAUAAUUUACCUACUGCUUUCCCCUUGCUUGGGAAUCAGCUAAUGACGAUCAUUAAUUACUAAGUCUAGGUAAUAAUUCAGUCACAAAUAUUGACAAGCAUCAAUAUGUCUUAGAGUCCUUGACUUCUCACGGUUGUUUCUUUUUACAGUUCCUAGUUGAAGAUUGUUAGGAAUCAAAUUUCUCCUUUCCAUUUCACUUUUCUACCAGUGGUGAGUUAAAAUUGAGAUCCUCACAAGCAAAAGCCUUCUAGACAUAUUUCUAGGGAAAGCAGGGUAAUGAUCUCAUGGCUUCCAUAUCCCCCUCAUCUACCAGCUUCUCCCAGGAAGUAUGUCCAAAGUCCUUUGUGCACAGACAUUGG